AUGCCAACACAUCCAGCUCAAUCCGUUUUUCUUCACGGACGACGAUAACAAUCGCACAACUUGUUCAUGCGGCUCAACACAACGGCUUGCAGUGCCGCAUGUUCAGGGCGCAGGUUCGGCCCAGGUUGGCGCCCUCCAGGAGAAGGUCGGAGAGGCGGUCCAGGCCGAGGCAGGUGGUGAGGGGGCUGACGAGACCGUAGAGACCCCCCAAGGUGAUGCUGAGGGGCCAGGCGAGGAAGAGCAGCAGCAGCAGCCAGAUGAUGCACCACAAAGGCGAGGCGCAGUUUGCCAUCCUGCUCUGGAAGACCCCAAGCAAAGGAGUUGAUGGGAAGAAAAGCACCAACGAUCCCAAAGAGUACCUGAGGACGGACUAGAAAAGACAUGAGUUACCUUCAGCGUCGUCGUCUUCUUCUACUUGAGGCGCUCCAAAGUCCUCCUGGUCCCUCUCGGCCGGCCCAAAGACGCCGCUCGGCUCGUCCCACGGCGUAAUUGGUGUGGAUGUGGAUGUGGAGACUGACCACUGAUCCUUUAAAACCACCUAAUAGUCACGAAGUGGAAGCAGCUUUACCCGAUGGCCUCCAAAACCAAAAACUAUAUUCCAAAUGUUGCUUUUUGAACAGAAAUGUCAGGUUGUAGACGACUACAGCGUAUUCCUACAGGCAUCAUUCAGUGACUUACUGAGGGCUGCAACCUCCCGAAUUUCAGUGCCCCUCCCGAAAAUCUCCCGGGGCAACCAUUCUCCCAAUUUCCACCCGGACAACAAUAUUGGGGGCGUGGCUUAAAGGCACUGCCUUUAGCGUCCUCUACAACGUGUCGUCACGCCCGUUUUUUCUCCAAACAAACAGCGUGCCGGUCCUGUCACAUAAUAUAUGCUGCUUUUACACACACACAAGCGAAUGCAAGGCAUACUUGAUCAACAGACAUACAGGUCACACUGAGGGCGACCGUAUAAACAACUUGAACACUGUUAGAGAUGUCGAUGCCGAUAAAUGCUUUAAAAUGUAAUAUCGGAAAUUAUCGGUAUCGUUUUUU